rnacentral:rRNA from 1 species
AGACAGGUGGUGCAUGGUUGUCGUCAGCUCGUGUCGUGAGAUGUUGGGUUAAGUCCGCAACGAGCGCAACCCCUAUUGUUAGUUGCCAUCAUUCAGUUGGGCACUCUAGCGAGACUGCCGGUAAUAAACCGGAGGAAGGUGGGAUGACGUCAAAUCAUCAUGCCCCUUAUGACCUGGGCUACACACGUGCUACAAUGGUUGGUACAACGAGUUGCGAGUCGGUGACGGCGAGCUAAUCUCUUAAAGCCAAUCUCAGUUCGGAUUGUAGGCUGCAACUCGACUGCGUGAAGUCGGAAUCGCUAGUAAUCGCGGAUCAGCAUGUCGCGGUGAAUACGUUCCCGGGUCUU